GGGGCGGCUGGCGGCGGGCAGGGCGCUCCCGGUCGCGCUCCAUGUUGUGUGAGGAUAGCCGCCAUCAUGGCUUCUCCUUCGGCGCCGCGUUCUCUUCAGGGCUGGGGCGGCGGCGAGGCGGGCUCUCCCCCACUGCCUGGCGGCGCUUCGCAUCUCGAUCACUGGAGGGAAAUGGCCUUUUUUUUUGUCUUUUUUUUUUUCUCUCCCUCUCUCCCCUUUCCCGCCCCCCCCCCUUCCCCCACUGCUUUGUGAGGGGUUGUGGAAAGCGAAGCCGAGGAGGGAGCGGGGCGCCUGGCGGCUUUUUCUCCUCGCUGCCGCGCACAACAUGGCCGCGCUGGGGAGCGCCCUGCAGCAGCGGGAGGCAGCGCUGCGGGCGGCAGGGCUGGCGACGCUCCAGCCCGGCCGGGGCGGGGGGGGGGAAGAGCCGGGUGGGGAGGACAAAGGCUGCUCGCAUAAUGCAGGCGAAGUCCUGAGUGCCUAUAAAUAACGCCGCCCGCCCCUCGUCUUCCUCCCUUCCCCCCGCCGCAGCCUCUCGCUCGCUUAGGUUUUAUAAAUACCCAAAGAUGAAAGUAGCCUAAUGCAGAGGAAAAAAAGGAUUUUUAAGAGGAACAAACAAUAGCCCCCCCCAAAAAAAAACUCCCCCCAAAAAACCCCAAAGCCAGGCAGUUGUGGGGGAUGGAUGGAGGGAGAAGCCAGGCAAAUGAGCAGGCAGCGCCGGCCGCGGGAGGAGCAGGGCGGCGUCGCCAGCCUCCCCGCCUGGAGCGGGCUGCGCUGCGCCCCGCCAACGCGCCGGGGGGAGCGCGGCCGCCGCUCCCCGCCGCUCGUCACAUGGCUCUUUGUUGUUUUCCUUCUCCUGCCCCUCCUGGGCUUUCCCCCCCUCCGCCAUCGCCCAGCCGCUCCGCCGGGGCAGCCGCUGCCCUGCCUCCUCCCGCCCGCAGCCGGGGUGGGAUGGCCCGGCCAGGCCGGCCUGCAGCGCCCAGCUCCCCGGGCCCGCAGCCGGGGCUGGGCUGGCGCGGAGCCGGGUGCCGUGCUGCAGUGCGAGCCGCCAUGGCCGUCUGAGGUGUUACAUGUGCCUUUUUUUUUUCUCUUUUUUUCUCUUCUUUUUUUUCCUUUUUUCUUUUUUUUUCCCGAGCAGAUUUUCCUGCAGCUCGCUUUGGGUGGAGGCGUGGGGGUUAUUUCGGAGCUUCACAAACCUCGCUGUGCUCUGCGGGGAGUUGCACCUUGUGCUCCACUGCAAACCCAAAUUAGGCUCCGUCGAGAACAAGCGACAAACCGUCAGCACAAAACAUGACACGUUUCUAUGGAGGGAGGAAAAAAAAAAAGUCUUCGCACUGCCAGGCUGGCUUUAAAACGCUACCCCUGCGCUCUGUGCCCCCCUCUCGGGGUGCAGCUCUUGCAGCCAUGGGGGUUUGCGGCCGCCAAGACCCUCCGAGGGCUCGGUCCCUGUGAGGCGCGCCUUGUCCGGCCAGACCAUCUUUAAACGCCUGGCCCUUGCUCAUGGCAGUACUGCAACAGCCUUCCUGGUUUAAAAUUGCUUUAAAUAAUAAUCUGCUAAUAAACUCGGAAGAAACGGUGACGUGAUUCUUAGCUAAACACUAUUAAAAUGCUCCUCUACUAUUUCUCAAUAGAGGUGAAAAGCAUUUUAGCUUCCUGGAAAUGGCCGAAACAGGCGACGUGUAGAUCAAAGUACGCUGUAGAUCUGUUCUUGGUUUUGCAGGGGUUUUUUGAACUGUAAUGAAAAUGUUUCCGCAGCUUGCAUCAUAAUGAGUUAAGUCGGCAUGUAAAGGGAUUAAAAAAAAAAAAAAAAAGAGAUUUAAACAGCAUCAGCUAUUAAGUUUCCUGAGCUUUAAAAUUCAUGUUGAAAUAGAUAUUUGGAUAUUAGUAAUAUCUGCAUUUAAACCUUAACGUCGGUCUGUUUAACCCUGAAGCAAACUAGCUCUGCUUAACGCAGGCUUUGAAAUGAUUCAGCCAGACCAUAAUACUGUGGGAGCUUAGACAGCUUUGUCUGUACUUGCACCUCUCUGCGCAUUUUUCCAGGACUCUGAUCUUUGUCUGCAAUUAAUCAUUGUUCAGGACGGCCGUUCCCGAUGGUAUGAUCCGUGAACUGCUCCAGCUGGGAGAGGUCCCAAAGCAUGUGCCUGGCGCCGCGUACGUGCAAAUCAGGGCCAGAAGUUGCUGGGGCAGCAGGCGUUGUAGAGUGAGCCCGCCAUGCGGACCCAGUGAAUUGUGUGGGUCCUCAGCACUUCUGAAAAUUGUUUUUGUAAGUCUGAGCUGAACAUUUCUUUCCGUUUUUAGAGUUUCUAAAUGACGAUCGUGUUCAAUGUAGUUGAAAAGUCACCAAGGCAGUUGAGACCGGUUGCACUCUCAGAGUGGGUGGUUUCAUGGCUGAACCUCGUAUCUGAAAAGCUAAAUGUUCUGGUACAGAAUGUUUAAAUCCCAGAAAGGUCAAACCAGACUUUCAUACUUCAGUUAGAUUGACCCUGGUUUACUGUGUGAGACUCUUUAGAGAAAGAAAGAGAUCUUUCGGGGGGGGUGGAAGAUUUUUUUUUCUCUGAACAGCUUGUGGUUACUCUAUGCACAUUCUUGAAGCAAAGGGGUUUGUUCUUGCCCAAGCAAAGGGGUUUGUUCUUGCCCACAGCGUCCCUCCCCUGCAUCAUGGAGUAGAAAACUCUUAUGUUAAUUAUUUCACUGUCUGUUAUCAAUAAGAAGUGAUUUAAUUUCUUUGGCAAAGUGUUGCAACAAGAGCAAAUUAGAUUGAGAGGCAAAGUGAAAUAAAAAACAGGCAGCUGUUCUGCCAAACAAUGAUUAUGACUGUUUACAACAUUUUGGUUUAGACUGGCUUGUACACAGAAUCCUUUAUAUUGAAGGUUUUCAUGUCACAAUCCGCUGCUUGUGCAAGGAAACUAGAUUAAUAGAUUAUAAAGGACAAAAGAGACCUAGGUUCAUCUGGUUCGACUUCCUGCGUUAUGCAGGUCGUCAGAUUUUUGUGAAUUUGUUGCUUAUUUGAAAGAAAUUAACUACAGCAUGGCUACAUCAUAGAAAAACAGAUUUUCAUUUUAAAAUGGGCUGUGAGAGAGAGUAAGAGUUAGUAAAUUGUUUCCAUCAAAGCCUACCUGAAAGACUAGAAAUCAAAAUACCUUUUUUAAACUUCUCUAGUUUCUGCUUUCAGUUUCUGGAUGUUGUUGUAUCUCAGUCUGCUUGACGGAGGAAAGCUCCAUUACCAGAUUUCCGUCCCCGUGUAGCUGUGUACAGGCUGAUCAACUGAGCAUUUAACACUCCUGUUGCAGACUUGCAGAGCUCCCCCUCGGGUCCAUCUUUACUAAUCCUGUAGUCGUUCCUGUCGCGGUUCCCUGUGAACGCUCCAGUUUUUCACCAUUUUGAUCUGGGCAGAAGGGGACAGAGCAAUCAGUGGUGAUAAUACCCACGCCAACAGCCCUUGUUCAGCUGGUUUCCCAGCACGGCUCCUAAAAUACCCUCAGAUCUGCUCCUUCGUGGGACAGCAUCCCCAUCCUGUUGGUUUGUGCUUUUUGUUCUGCUUGUACAGCUUUACACUUGGCUCUCUUGGAAAGGACAAGUCCUUAGUGUUGUUGCUUGCAAUAACCUUUUUUUUUUAUACCCCCUCCUGCUACUAUUGAGUGUCACCUACAAACUUGAUUGGUAACGAUUAUAUAUUUUCUUCCAGAUAAACAACUGCUUCUGUCUCCACUGUAGGAGUUUCCUGGUUCCGGGUGUGUGUACACCUCAGCCGUGUUAGUAUUGCGUCAGGAGGAGGUCUGGAUGUACACCAUCCUCUCGCCACACCCCAGUUUCAUGGGAAGAAAGCCCAGUUCAGGAGCUGGAAGGGAGCCAGGAGGCACACUGCAGCAUUUGCCUGCCCUGGUGUCUAUAGUGUAGCCAUUAAAUAAUGUAGGGCCCAAACCUACCUAAUGUAGGUGGUUGCAGGACCCAUAAAAGAAAGCUGACAGCUUUAGGACACAGCGCUUACAACUGCAUUUUGAGACCUUCCUGUUAGAUGGAUUCUAACCCGUUUCAUUUUAUGCCUUCUUGCUCUUACAUUGUCCUACUCAUAAUCCCAUAAAUGCUUCACAGGGGUUGAAGUAUGGCACAUCAUCCCUCUUGCACAAAUCUCCUACUAGUGCUAUUGCCAUUUACCACCGAACCUUCCAAUUUCUUAAAACAAUUUCUCUCUCAGGAGCUAAACUCAGGAAGCUUUGUCUCCCAUGGAUUUGUGUCAGUAAAUGCCCCCUGACAAAUUUUCCAGCUCUUUCCCAGUCUUGCUUGCCCCAUUUGGCUGAGCAAGGACUAAAGUGCUGGCUGGGUACGGGCAAGGGCUGAGCACCACCGUGGUGCCUCUACUACGUACUCUACUCAGCUCUUCAUUCAAGACCUAAAUACGUUUGGGACUUCUUCCCCUCUGCCAAAUUUGAUUGAGAUUGGAGGAAGGAGAGGAAGAAUGAACAACACAGUCACAUUAGACUGUUUUAUUUUUAGGAAACCAGGCUAAGAAUAUUGAGUAGGAAUAUGGACAGGGUAUUUGCCUGUUGAGGUUUUUUUACCAUGAAAUUUUUCAUUUCUUCCUAAGAAAGCAGAUGAUCUGUCUAGGGAAUUUCUCAGCCAAAAUAAGCAACCUCCUGACAUAUUUCACCUGUGCCCCAGCAUGCUCCAAGGACGCAUGGCAUGUAAGCAUUGAACGAUGACAGGGAAUCACUACCCUGUCCUGGUGUUUGACUGCCUGGGUGUGGAGAUCUAUGGUGAUACCAAGUAGCGGAACAAACAGUUAUUUUGUUUAAGAUCCAUAUAACCUUUGAUGGACAUGUUGGAUAUUUGCCAGGGCUGGGUUUUUGGUUUCUUUUUAAACUGUAUCUGAUAAUUUUAUUUCUCUAUAAGAUAGGUAGUGAGUGCUGUCAGAGAUUUAAUCAUUCUUGAGCUAUAAAGGAAUAAAGAAGCUGUUUCAACACCUGA